rnacentral:SRP_RNA from 1 species
UGCUUACCAGGUGUCUGCACUAAGUUCGACAUUGAUAUGGUGACCUCCCAGGAGCGGGGGGCCACCAGGUUGCCUGAGGAUGGGUAGACUGGUCCAGAUCAGAAAGGGAGCAGGUCAGAACUCCCGCACUGAUGGCUAGUGGGACUGUGCCUGGGCA